rnacentral:pre_miRNA from 1 species
CCAUGCAUACAACGGGUUUCGCAGUCUAACGAGCUCUAUUUUAAAUCAGAUAGUUCGUUGUCGACGAAACCUGCAUUUUGCAAUGG